AUUGAACGCUGGCGGCAGGCCUAACACAUGCAAGUCGAACGAGUGGCGGACGGGUGAGUAAUGUCUGGGACCCUGCCUGAUGGAGGGGGAUAACUACUGUAACCGGUAGCUAAUACCGCAUACCCUCAGAUGUGCCCAGAGGGGAUUAGCUAGUUGGUGGGGUAACGGGUCACCAAGGCGACGUUCCCUAGCUGGUCUGAGAGGAGGACCAGCCACACUGGACAGUAGACACGGUCCAGACUCCUACGGAGGGCAGCAGGGGGGAAGAUUGCACAAUGUGCGCAAGCCGUAUGCAGCCAUGCCGCGUGUAUGAAGAAGGCCUUCGGGUUGUAAAGUACUGUCAGCGGGGAGGCGUUACCCGCAGAAGAAGCACCGGCUAACUCCGUGCCAGCAGCCGCGGUAAUAC
rnacentral:rRNA from 1 species